rnacentral:rRNA from 1 species
CAAGGAUUCCCCUAGUAACUGCGAGUGAAGCGGGAAAAGCUCAAAUUUAAAAUCUGGUAGUCUCUGGCUGCCCGAGUUGUAAUCUGGAGAAGUGUUUUCUGUGCUGGGCCGUGUACAAGUCUCUUGGAAUAGAGCGUCAUAGAGGGUGAGAAUCCCGUCUUUGACACGGACAUCCAGUGCUCUGUGAUGCACUCUCAAAGAGUCGAGUUGUUUGGGAAUGCAGCUCAAAAUGGGUGGUAAAUUCCAUCUAAAGCUAAAUAUUGGCAAGAGACCGAUAGCGAACAAGUACCGUGAGGGAAAGAUGAAAAGAACUUUGGAAAGAGAGUUAAACAGUACGUGAAAUUGUUGAAAGGGAAACACUUGAAGUCAGUCGCGUCUAGCAAGGAUCAGCCCUUCUCGGAAGGUGUAUUUCUUGCUUGACGGGUCAACAUCAAUUUUGACUACUGGAAAAAGGCCAGGGGAAGGUGGCACCUUCGGGUGUGUUAUAGCCUUUGGUCAUAUACAGUAGUUGGGAUUGAGGAAUUCAGCAUGCCUUCAUGGCUGGGGUUCGCCCACAUUCAUGCUUAGGAUGUUGGCAUAAUGGCUUUAAGCGACCCGUCUUGA